GAUGAACGCUGGCGGCGUGCCUAAUGCAUGCAAGUCGAGCGAACAGACGAGGAGCUUGCUCCUCUGACGUUAGCGGCGGACGGGUGAGUAACACGUGGAUAACCUACCUAUAAGACUGGGAUAACUUCGGGAAACCGGAGCUAAUACCGGAUAAUAUAUUGAACCGCAUGGUUCAAUAGUGAAAGACGGUUUUGCUGUCACUUAUAGAUGGAUCCGCGCCGCAUUAGCUAGUUGGUAAGGUAACGGCUUACCAAGGCAACGAUGCGUAGCCGACCUGAGAGGGUGAUCGGCCAAACUGGAACUGAGACACGGUCCAGACUCCUACGGGAGGCAGCAGUAGGGAAUCGUCCGCAAUGGGCGAAAGCCUGACGGAGCAACGCCGCGUGAGUGAUGAAGGUCUUCGGAUCGUAAAACUCUGUUAUUAGGGAAGAACAAAUGUGUAAGUAACUAUGCACGUCUUGACGGUACCUAAUCAGAAAGCCACGGCUAACUACGUG
rnacentral:rRNA from 1 species